rnacentral:rRNA from 1 species
GGUAUGUUAGUGGCGAACGGGUGAGGAAUACAUGGAUAACGUGCCCCGGACACGGGAAUAGCGGCGUCUCCCGAGCGAUCGGGAGACUUUGCGAAAGUGCCGGUAAUACCCGAUGACCCCGCAGCGCCUCAUGGCGCAGCGGGCAAAGUUCCGGCGGUCUGGGAUCGGUUCAUGUCCUAUCAGCUUGUUGGUGGGGUAACGGCCCACCAAGGCGGCGACGGGUAGCGGGCGUGAGAGCGUGACCCGCCACAUCGGGACUGAGACACUGCCCGGACACCUACGGGUGGCUGCAGCAACGAAUAUUCCGCAAUGGACGAAAGUCUGACGGAGCGACGCCGCGUGCAGGAAGAAGUCCUUCGGGAUGUAAACUGCUGUCAGGGGUUAGGAAUACUGACCAGCCCCACAGGAAGCACUGGCUAACUCCGUGCCAGCAGCCGCGGUAAUACGGAGAGUGCAAGCGUUGUUCGGAAUUACUGGGCUUAAAGAGCGUGUAGGCGGGGAUGCAAGUGUCGGGUGAAAGCCCUCGGCUCAACCGAGGAACGGCUCGGCAAACUGCAUCUCUUGAGGCAGGUAGAGGUGAGUGGAACGACUGGUGGAGCGGUGAAAUGCG